UACAGAGGGGGCAAGCGUUAUUCGGAAUCACUGGGCGUAAAGGGCGCGUAGGCGGGUCCGCAAGUCGAUCGUGAAAUCCUUCGGCUCAACUGAAGGGGGUCGGUCGAUACUGCGGGUCUUGAGGGAUGCAGAGGAGACUGGAAUUCCCGGUGUAGCGGUGAAAUGUGUAGAGAUCGGGAGGAACACCGGUGGCGAAGGCGGCGCACUGGACCACAACUGACGCUGAGGCGCGAAAGCUAGGGGAGCAAACAGG
rnacentral:rRNA from 1 species